rnacentral:rRNA from 1 species
ACUCCUACGGGAGGCAGCAGUGGGGAAUAUUGCACAAUGGGCGCAAGCCUGAUGCAGCCAUGCCGCGUGUGUGAAGAAGGCCUUCGGGUUGUAAAAGCACUUUCAGUCGUGAGGAAGGUAGUGUAGUUAAUAGCUGCAUUAUUUGACGUUAGCGACAGAAGAAGCACCGGCUAACUCCGUGCCAGCAGCCGCGGUAAUACGGAGGGUCCAAGCGUUGUCCGGAUUUAUUGGGUUUAAAGGGUGCGUAGGCGGCCCUAUAAGUCAGUGGUGAAAUCCUUCAGCUCAACUGGAGAACUGCCAUUGAUACUGUAGGGCUUGAGUACAGACGAGGUAGGCGGAAUUUAUGGUGUAGCGGUGAAAUGCAUAGAUACCAUAAAGAACACCUAUUGCGAAGGCAGCUUACUAGACUGUAACUGACGCUGAGGCACGAAAGC